GAUAAGAUUUCGAGUUCAAGUUUUUCCAUCUACAUAUUCUGAGAUUCAUCUCCUUUAUAGUGAGAGUUGUUUAAGGGAGAUUAUAUUAGAAUAAUCCCUCCUGCAAUGUUAUUAGCUAAAGUUCAGGGAUAUUUGGAAACAUUAAAUCUUACAUCUAAAUUCCAUAAUCACUCAAAUGGGAGAAGGGAAGUGCAGCAAUUCAAACCCUAUCAUAUAUAUAAACUAAAACAUAACUUCUUAAAAUGGGAUACUACUCCAGCAGAUUUGCAGUAAACGGAACCCCAAAUCCUGUUCCGCACCAAUAUCAGUCUUCUACUCUCAUAAGAAUGAUGCAGACCAUUGGAGUGGUGGAAAUAUAAAAUAAGCAACGUUUUCAAACAAAGACAAAGGAAUAAAUGUCUGAUGAUUAUCCUAUUAGUAAAGGUGCAAGGCAUAAAGGGAUCUUGGAGCCUAGGCUUAAAGGCAUAGGCAUGCGCCCUUGAAGAUGAGGUGAAAAGCAACAAAAUUUGCUAGAAAAUUCAAAACUACCUAUCACGCAAGGAAACUAAGCUUUAUUCAAAACUAAGCCACGAAGGGCAAGAAAGAGUGAGGGAAGACAAAUUUAUUAGGAAACGUAUUUAAAACAUAAAGAAUGUCACUUUUUAUCUCCUUAUGAGUGAGGGACAAUAAUAUAAUAGGUUUCUUAAAACUCAAUUUGGGAAAAAAGAACAAGGGAAAACAAACAAGAAGAUUUAGGGGAAAAUACAGGGAUAGAAAACAGAAGAAAAGUUGAGAAGGAAAGAGUUAGGAGAACGGGAAAAAAAGGAAAAUAGAGAACCAAGAGAGAGAGGAGAUUGGAGAAGAGAAAGCAACAACAACAACAAAGAACACUCAUCGAAAAAUAGAGGAGAGUGUAGAGAUAAAGACUUAAGCCUGUUAAACCUUAAGCCUCAGGCACGCCCCUCCAACGAUUAGUACAAUCAUGCAGCAGACCUCUUGUGUUUCAGCAUGGCAUCACAAAGCUUUGCAGCAUCUAGAUUAUCUCUAACAUUAUGCACUCUUACAAUGUUUGCACCUCCCAGAAUACCAGCAGCAAUAGAAGCAAUGGUUGCAGGAUCUCUUUCAAUUGCUGCAGGGCGAGCACAAAUUUCACCCAAAAAUCUCUUUCUGGAAGGUCCAAUAAGCAUGGGAGCAUGAGAUGUGGCCAAGCUUUUCCUUGCAAUCUCUGCUCGAAUGGUUGGUAACCCCAUAAGGAUAUCCAAAUUAUGCUUAGUGUUCUUUGAAAAUCCAAUUCCAGGGUCAAUGAUAAUCCUCCAUGCUGGGACACCUAUUAAUUCUGCAUCUUUAAUCUGCGAAUACAACUCAAAGGCAACCUGCUUACAAACAUUAUCAUAUUGCAAGUUCUCACUAUUUUGCAUUGUUGUUGGGUCUCCUCUCAUGUGCAUUGCGACAUAAGGAACCUCAAGGCCAGCAACAACCUUAGUCAUGUUAGGGUCCAACUGCCCCCCAGAUACAUCAUUUACAAGAUGAGCUCCAUUUUUCACUGCUUCUAAAGCAACUUCAGAGUAAAAGGUGUCCACAGAUAUGAGCUUUCCAUUCAUCUCAGGUAUCUUUACAACAGCUUCCAAGACAGGCAUUAGUCUAUCUAAUUCCUCCUGAGGGGAUAUCCUAGAGGCCAUUGGUCUUGUUGAUUGAGCACCAAAAUCAAUAAUAUCCGCCCCAUCUGAAAUCAUCGAGCAGACAUGAGAAACUACAGAAUCCACAGACUGGAACUUUCCUCCAUCACUAAAACUAUCUGGGGUCAAAUUAAUAACACCCAUCACAGAAGUCUUUCGUGACCAAUCCCACAAGUGAUUUCCAAUCGGCAGCACUCUUUUCAUCUCUUCCUUCCCAAUGAGGUAUUCACCACCCAGUUUCUCCCAUGAUUCAAAAAGCCCGCCAGAAUGUAUUGACAAAGAAUGCCAGUAAGCAACUGUAUCAUUCUCAACAUCCGAUCCCAGUAAAUCCAUCAAUGGGGCCAUUACAAAUGGUCUCUCCCAUAUUCUCUCAUGAGGGACUGUAAGUGUAUCUGAAUUAAUCCUAAACUUUCCAUAGAACAAUAUAUCCAAAUCAAUUGGUCUUGGUCCAUAUCUUAUACCAUCAGUACGACCCAUAUCCUUUUCAAUCUUCUUAAGCACUCCCAACAACUCAUGUGGACCAAAUUUUGUAACAGCUCUAACUGCAGAGUUAAGAAAGUGAGGCUGAUCAGUCACAUAGGCAGGUGCUGUCUCAUACAAACAACCAUGUCUAAUAAUGGUGAUGCCAGAUUUCUUCAUCAACUGCAAUGCAUGGUUAAAAUUACUAAGCCUAUCACCCACAUUGCUUCCUAAAGCAAUUACUACUUCCUGCUCUUGAGAAUGAAGCUCCACAUGACUAUCUGGGGCUGAAUGGAGAAAGCACAGAGAAGAUCCUGCAAUGUAUAUUGAUACAACUAUCAAAGAACCAAAACUGUUAUCCCUUGCAAUACUAAAAGAAUUCUUAUUUACCCGACAAAAUUUCAAACAGGUGAACUAAUAACAUUAACCAGAUUAGAGAACAUAACCAUGACCGAUCAGGAAAUAAGCUACCAAAUUUGUCCAAAUGCCAUUUAGCCUGUGGGUAUCUGAUCGCAGUACAAAUCAAAUGUCUAACAACAAAACAAUAAAAGGUAACUGAGCCCAUCAAGAGUAAAUAAACAUUCUUACCUCCAAAGAGCUUCACGGCAUCAGAAAGCCCUUGUUUAAUGGGCAUUAGCCGUUUGAAAAGGCUCAUAUCAGAAAGGUCUCAAGAGUUACAAAGUUCACUUCCAGUAUCCAAUUUGUGUCUUCUUCAGUAUCAAAUGUGCCAUGUCGCAAAAAAUAAAUAUAUAAAACUCAGUAACUAGAAAAGCAAUUGCAUAGAUAGCAUACAUGAAAAACUAGAAGACGCUCCUCACCAAUUGCGCCCUAAUUAAAAUAAUUUUCAGUUGCAAAUUCUGGGCUUACAUUAGCAUUCAAAAUAAAUGCAUGCUCUUUGUUUACCAACGCGACUCCAAGAGAGAAGAAGCAGAACUUCUAAAGUGUCCCUUGGGACAAGUUAAUAAGGUUUUAUCCUUCCUACUUUCUUCCAUGAAUAGACAACUGAAAUGGAGUAAUGUACCUACACAAAAUGCUAAUUUUGUAAUAGAGUUUGGAAACCGAAGAUAACUCAUAUUUUCACCUGGAGUUUCUCAACGAUUUAUCGGAAGAAAGUUUUAGCAGUGAAUAACAUUAGACAGUGAAAUAUCGGAAUGGGAGUGAAAUAUCGGAAUGGGGUUGCAAGUGCAAAGGAAUUGAAAGACGAAGCUUCCACACUUUCAUAUUGGAUAUGUGUCGAACAGGUUGUGUGCAAUCCCAAUGUAAAGCCCAGAACCCAAAAAGACACGCACUUUAUAUCAGAAGAAAAACCACCAAGAGACAUAGAUAAUUUCAACAAGAAAUAUAAAGUUUACCGUUAUAAAUCUGGGCGGAAGAGAGAGGAGAAUAUAAAUAGGCAACAGCCGACUCUUAUCACCUUUCUCUCAGGCUGCUAAUAUUCCACAGGACUUCGGUUGCCUCCGUAAGAAAAAAGCACUUACCUUUGUUAAAACUUUCAAAGAUUCAAUUUUUAGACAAUUCAGAUUGAACACUUUUAAGAAAGUGGAAUUCCAAUGGUGGGACUCACCACUCAUUUUGCACUGGAUGUCAUUAUUUUUCAACAGUAGAACUCGACAAUAUUAGUCAUUGUCACAGUUCCGCACAAUUCCUGAACAUAUGACUCGGCGUUUAAGCACCAAUUCAAGCAAAGAAGGAAUGUAAA
rnacentral:misc_RNA from 1 species